CUGGAGCUGGGACAGGUCAGCAUCCAUCUUCUUCUUCUGGUUGAUGAGGCUGCUGCUCACCUGGGAAUGCAGCAGCUGCACCCGCUCACUAGUCUCAAUCAGCUCCUGCUCCGCCAGCUUCCGGGACCGCUCUGUCUGCUCCACCACGGCACGCAACUCCUCCAGCUCAGCCUGCAGCAGGUUGUUGCGCCGCUCCACGAUGGCGAUGUUCUCCUUCAGGUCGUCGUUGGCACGGACUGCAUCGUCCAGCUGAAUCUGGGUUACCUUCAACAAGCUCUGGAGGCUCUUGACUUGCUUCUGGGCCUCGGCGGCCAUGCGGUUGGCGUGGCUGAGCUGGAUCUCCAUCUCAUUGAGGUCUCCUUCCAUCUUCUUCUUCACCCUCAGGGCCUCGUUGCGGCUGCGUGUCUCUGCGUCCAGGGAGGUCUGCAGCGAGUCCACCACCCGCAGGUGGUUGCGCUUGGCCUGUUCCAUCUCCUCGUCCUUCUCUGCCAGCUUCCGCUCGAUCUCUGCCUUGAUCUGGUUGAACUCCAGCUGGGCCCGGAGGAUCUUGCCCUCCUCCUGCUUUCGGACCUUCUCCAGCUCAUGGAUAGUCUUUCCGCUGGAACCCAACUGCUCAGUCAAGUCGGAGAUCUCCUCUGUGUGGGGAACACGGCGUUCUUGAGUUUGAAGAGCUCUGUGCUGAGGGAGCGAGCCUCCUUCUGCGAGGACUCCAGCUCCGACUGCGACUCCUCAUACUUCUGCUUCCACUCGGCCAGGAUCUGCCCGGGGACAAGGCUCACUCUUCAGCCCCCCAGCCUCAGCCCCAUGUCCAGGGGCUGCAGCAGCAGCAUUGGAGCGCUCUACGUCCACCAUCAAGUCCUCGAUCUCAUUCUGUAG